rnacentral:rRNA from 1 species
GAGUUUGAUCCUGGCUCAGAACGAACGCUGGCGGCGUGCCUAACACAUGCAAGUCGAACGUGAUCCAGAGCUUGCUCUGGUGAAAGUGGCGCACGGGUGAGUAACGCGUGGAUAACCUACCCUGGUAUCCGGGAUAACAUUCCGAAAGGGGUGCUAAUACCGGAUAAGCCCACGGGCUCUUUGGAGCUUGCGGGAAAAGGUGGCCUCUAUUUAUAAGCUACUGUAUCAGGAUGGGUCCGCGUACCACUAGCUAGUUGGUGAGGUAACGGCUCACCAAGGCGACGAUCAGUAGCCGACCUGAGAGGGUGAUCGGCCACACUGGAACUGAGACACGGUCCAGACUCCUACGGGAGGCAGCAGUGGGGAAUAUUGCACAAUGGGCGCAAGCCUGAUGCAGCAACGCCGCGUGAGUGAUGAAGGCGUUCGGGUCGUAAAACUCUGUCAGAGGGGAAGAAAUGAUAUAGUGCUAAUACCACUUUAUCUUGACGGUACCCUCAAAGGAAGCACCGGCUAACUCCGUGCCAGCAGCCGCGGUAAUAC